GGGGGCGACUGGUUUCGACGGCAAGAUGGAGGGUCUGGAAGAGCGGGUCGAGGACUCCGCAACCUCGUUAAACGGCGGGACAACAAUAAACGUCAACAAUAAUAAUUACGCACUGGCUGCUUAGUUCAGCCACGUCUUCAGUAGAUUAGUCACCGGUCUGCUGACAGGCGUCACAAUUAGGUGAAUGCCUCGCGGAGAGUGCCUCUGGCUCUGUGAGAAAGAUAAAGGGGCUAGGGAGCGCGGCAUCCUGUUCCUGGGGGGCUGCAUCCGACACUAAAACAGGAACUACACUCGUAGAGCUUCCACGGCUGGCCCUUGUCGGACCGGGGUUCAAGUCCCCGCGCCUCCACCA
rfam:Aminobacterium colombiense DSM 12261, complete genome.